UCUUCUUUGCUUGUACAUGACGGGGUAACCAAAUCGAGCACCAACCAAAUCCAGAUAGGAAAUCGACUACCAUCAACUCCGAGGAACAACAUCUGAUCGGUUAACUUGAUAUAGCAAAGCUCCGCGCCAAGCACCGCCGCUUCACCACAUCAGCACUGCUGAACUACAUCAGCGUCGUCCGCUACAACAAGGCGACUUCUUCUCAGAUCAACCAUCAUUCUUUUGCCCUUUCUGAGGAACAAUAACAACAACCAAAUCGGAGAUUCAUCAACAAAAAAUCAAUCGAACAUAUAAGUUCAAUUUACUUGUUGUCAUUCACCGUAAUAAUUGAUUAAUUUCUGGUUUUUUGGAAAAAAAUAUUUUAGGGUUUUCAUAGAUUCAAAUUCGAGAUUCCUUUCUAGUUUACGAUCUGAUUUAAAACCUAAGACCCAAUUUGCGAUCCUCAUCUUGAGGAAAAAAUCUUUGGAAUAGGAAAAAUUAUUGGAACUGCUCGUCGUUGAGAGUUAGUAUAUUUCUCAAGCUUCAUCGUAAUUCAAAAUUAGAAUUUAGUUUUGAAAACAGUGUAUCUUAACUUGAAAACCCAUCAAAUUAUUUUGAAUUUGAUUCAUUUUCGAUUUUAUGUAAUCUGCACUUAUACUUCUAUUUGAGACAAAUUGCUCCAGUUCUUGUAUGUAGUGAAGUAAUAAGGCAAUCAACUGUUGAAUUUUAGUAACUAAUUUAAAAUUAUGGUUCCCUGUUCUCAGAAUCAUUAUAAAGGCCUCUUGAAUCAGAUUUCGAUUGAUGAAGAAGGAACUUGUGAGAUCAAGGAAGAGCAGUAGCUGGAAAUUUAUGAAUGCAUGAUCACUUGAAGCUGCAGCUGCUUUGAUUUUCCAUGUAUGGUUUGGUUGAUAUUGUUAUUGCAGUGCUGAAGAACACUGAACUGAAGCACAACGAGAAUGGAGACAGGAGAGGUGAUUAGAGCUGGUAGUUGUGUUGACUGAUACCAAUUGCAGUUGAAGGCACUGGUGGUGUAUGCAGUGGGUUGAGGGAAUAAAGAAAGGGAAAGGAGUUGAAGCUGUUGUUGUUGCCAAGGAAUGUUGUGUGUAGAAGGUUAGAAGUGGCGCUGUUGCCUUCAGUUGGGAUGAGAAAAACAUGGUGAAACUGGAGUUGCAGCUCAGAUGGAGUAUGGUUGUGUGCAGACUAAGUUGGUGCUGUGAUGGCAGUGAUGAGCAUAUGGAUAUGAACUGAUUGGAGUGGUAAUGAUUCAGAGGGAGCUGAAUGCUGGUGCAUAGAAGACUCAGAAAUUGGGGUUAAUUAAUGAGAUUGAGCUGCAGGAUUGAACAGCAAUGGAUUAUUGUCAUCUGUUGAAUGUCUGGAGUUCAAUCUGUUUAUCUUUGAAUACAACUUAACAAUGAUGUGGUACUUACAAUUUUUAAUUGCUGGAAUCAGUCUCGGCUUCAUGAUAUUAUGAUUGCUGAUCUAAGAGCAGCACAACAAAGACAAGAACUCAAGCUUUGGCAAGAUGAAGUCAUUCAUACAAGUCCAAACUAGGACCUGAUAUUAUAACCAGAAAUAUCAAAAGCUACCUGACCUCGGCAAAAGCUAAGUAUUACUUUCUUAAGCCAAAUUUUUGAAAGCAUAUCGGAGUUACAUAACUAUUGGCAGUUAUAGCAUUUCAGUCAGUACACACUUCCCCUUAACCCCUUUUAUUUUAUAAUGCAUGCAAACUUUUGAGUUUCAAUGGAAACAACAUGAUAUAAGUUAUCUAGGAAAGCACUAAGCUGCCUUUUAUUACCAUAUAAGUGUCUCACCUUAGCUAAACGUAUAAUUGAAUUGCCUUAUAAUUAGAAUUAAUGCUUGAAUGCUAGAGAAAAGUUGAACAUCCGUAUAAUGAAAAAACAUGUUUAAAUCAUAAAGCAUGAGCUCGCUUAGUUAGGUACAACUGUUGCAUGUGGAUAAAACAUCUACAUAAUGAACUAGAUGAUUAAAUUUGCUCAACUAGUAUCUGCCAUGUAUACCUUGCUUGAAUAACACAAAUCUGCUUUUAUAUAUCUCAUACAUUAUGAGCUGGUCUAUUGCUUUUAAUUGCAUCUGAUUAACGUUUAAUGUUAUACCUCAUGAACUUGAUCUGAAAUCUUUAAGUCUGAAUGGACUCACAUAGCUAUCUAUGCUAGCAAUGUAAAAUCUAGUGAGUUGUGUACUUAGAUGAAAUAAAUCGAGCUGAAUAAGCAUUUAAAUAUCUCUUCUAAAAGCAUGAUAAUCUGUUUACAUUAUUAUACAUGAUUCCUGUGACACCUAUCUGAGUUGAACUGCUCAAACAUAAUUUUAUGAACUUACAAUAUUAAACUUUAAAUUGUCACUGAUUUGCUAUAUGAAUCUGUCACUUAAACGAGCUGACAUAUUUUAACUAAGCGACCUGAAAUUUUGUGUCACCUAUGAGCUGACUAUUUCCAGAACUGUUUAUCUAUAACUUUAAAGCCUAACUCUACAGCUAAGAAUCUGUAGCUAUAAAUAUCCUCAAGACCAGCACCUAAGCUUAGUGUGUUGUAUAGAGCUUGGAACAACUGCGCAUCGCUUAACGCCACAACAACACCCUUCAUCCAUAGCUGACUGCCCAAAAUGCUGCUGCCUUGCUAUCUGAUCCGUCAGAGGCUAAGAGUUGUCCGGAAUUGUCACUCGAGGAAUUGCACCUCAACUCCAACCUCCGCAUAUCAAUGGCCAGUUACCAACCCCAACAAAUAGAAGAGAGUAUCAGCCAACUUAAAGCUCAUCAGCGUCAUUCAAAUGCAUCUUUGCUCUUGCCUACAGAACCAUGCAUGGACAGCACACUGAAAGGGGACUAGACUUGUCUCGCUAUGCUUAAUCGCUUUAAUAAUUUCUUUUUGACUUACUCCAUGACUUGCAUCACACUUUGGCAGACACUUGCAUAUCGUAAUCCUUUAGAUUUAACCAAUAAUACUCAUCAUAUACUACUAUGAAUUCUUUAAGCUUACCAAGUUGUCAAUCAACAAAUUCUUAUGUCUUUCAAUAUGUUAUUAUAGACAUGUUCAAACUUCAUAUUUGUUUGAAUUGACUCUGGUAGCCUGGUUUAAUAUGUCAGGAAGAAAGUUGUGAUAUGAAGCAGCGCACAGCAAAGCUCAAAACGGGAAAUAACAGCCUUUGUUGGAUGUUAAUUGCAGCUACAACGAGCCUUGAUCUAAACAGACUUUCUCAGAGCUUCACGAAGCUACGAAGAGGUCGGCGACUACUGCACCUGGUCUGUUGGAAAGAGCAAAAUCUACUGAAGAAUCACGAGACACUCGAGUAAGCAGACGUUUGAUCAACAAGCAGUACAACCUGCAGCCUGAUGAGUGCCAAAUAUUGUAAUAAAUAAAGUCUUGAUAACUUGCGGAGCGGAAAAGAGCUGAAGAGUGGUGAAAAGCCGG